ACUCAAAGGAAUUGACGGGGGCCCGCACAAGCGGAGGAACAUGUGGUUUAAUUCGAUGAUACGCGAGGAACCUUACCUGGGCUCGAACGCUUCUGGAAUCACGCCGAAAGGCGUGAGCCGGCAACGGCCGGGAGCGAGGUGCUGCAUGGUUGUCGUCAGCUCGUGCCGUGAGGUGUCGGGUUAAGUCCCAUAACGAGCGCAACCCCUACCGCCAGUUGCCAGCGGGUGAAGCCGGGGACUCUGGCGGGACUGCCGGCGUAAGCCGAGAGGAAGGCGGGGAUGACGUCAAAUCAGCACGGCCCUUACGUCCAGGGCUACACACGUGUUACAAUGGCCGGUACAGAGGGAGGCGACCCCGCGAGGGGGAGCGGAUCCCGAAAGCCGGUCGUAGUUCGGAUCGGGGUCUGGAACCCGACCCCGUGAAGCCGGAUUCGCUAGUAAUCGCGCAUCAGCCAUGGCGCGGUGAAUACGUUCCCGGGCCUUGUACACACCGCCCGU
rnacentral:rRNA from 1 species